CAAGUCGAAUGUCUUUGCCGGCUGCUCGCUCGCCGCGGACAAGGUGACCUUUACGCUGACGCUGGUGGCUGCUGCUUCGGCCACGGCCACCACCACCACCUACGCCGCGGGCGACUUCAUCAACAUCAAGUCCGGCCAGAGCCUGCUCAAGGCCGACUCGACCACCGCCGCCAACCGCCUGGCCUUCGCGCCGCAUCCCGACGGUCUGCCCGUCGUGGCCACGAUCGUGUCGGCCGUGGUCACCGCAGGCGUUGGCUCUGGCACGGGUAUUGUCCGCGUGCAGCUCCCCAUCGCCAGUGACCUGGCCAAGGCGGACUGCGACAACACGGACAUCGGUGUCCUCGACAAUGCGGGAACUGCCCAGGCCCUUGCCGGCACCGGCGGUUGCGCGCUGAGCACCGACAAGACCGUGCUGACCAUCACGCUGGCCGGCUCCGUCACCGCGUCUUGGUUCACCACCUCGCCCUACAUGCGUGUGCGCAUCCUGUCCCAGGCCACCCUGGGCCUCAAGGCCGGCAGCUCAUCCGGCUACGCCUACAUCACCACCGACACCAGCGUGCUCGCCACCGUGCGCGCAUUCGACGUGGCGUCGGCCACACCGCAGAGCAUCGUGUCGGCCACGGCUGUGGGCCCCACCCGGCUGGAGCUGGCGCUGCCCGCCGUCACCACCAUCAACCCCGCCAACGGCUGCCCCAGCUCCCUGACGCUGAGCCGCACCUUGUCCAACUGCAGCCUGGACGACACCGGCAAGCUGCUGACCGUCUUCACCACCGCCGCCUACCAGUCCGCGGACACGGUGCAGGUGGUGGCCAGCCAGGCGCUCAAGUACAUGGCGGGCGACACCGCCACCUCCUACCCCGCCCUGGGUUCGGCGCUGACCAUCGCGCCCGCCAUUGUGUCGGCGUACACCGUGGACGCCUCCACCAUCGCCGUGACGCUGCCGGUUGCCAGUAGCUUCUAUGUUACCACUACCCGCACUGCCACUCUUGACGCCGUGGACUGCGACAAGAUUAUCACCGUGCUCAAGGCCGGCGUGGUCAACGGCGCCGGCGCCAUUGCGUCAGCUGGCAACCGCCGCACUCUGCUCACCACCGGCGCGUGCACGCUGGGCACCGCCUCGGCGGGCGGCACGACCAUCACCGUCAAGCUGAGCGGCGCUAUCUAUGACGCCGGCGACGCUGUCGACAUCCCCGACACCAAUGCCGGCCUCAACGGCGCGACCGCCACGUCUAACCCGCUGUACGCUGACUCCAACUCUGGGCCCAAGUACGUGGCCCGCCGCAGCCCGGUGGUCAUUGAGCCGCGCCUGGUGUCUGCCUCCGCCGUGGGCGCCCAGUCGGUGGAGGUGGUCCUGCCCGCCGCCAGCGCCAUCAUCGACAGCAGCAACGCCGUGGUGGCCACGCCCAGCUCCUCGCAGUGCGCCGCCAUCGCCGUCGUCAGCGGCAAGACCGUCACCUCGUGCUCGCUGUCGACCGACGGCCUGACGCUGACGCUGGGCCUGAGCGCCACCUUCGCGCCCGGCGACACCGUCAACAUCGUGUCGGGCCAGACCAUGCUGCGCGUGUGGAAGGCCAGUGUGGGCGCCGGCUACGAGGCGUUCGGCCCCGUGUACACGCCCUCGGCCGCCGCGCUGGCCAUCACUAUUGGCUACUUCGUGUCUGCCUACGCGCCCGACACUCAGACUGUGGUCAUCACGCUGCCGUUCACUGCCAAGCUGUACGACUACGCGCCCGCCACUGGCGCCUCCACCGCUGAGAUCACGCGCACCGCCACCGCCCCCACCAAGGGCAACUGCGACUCCAUCGUGCGCAUCGCCUCCCGCACGCUGGCCUCCACGCCCGCCGCCCUGACCGACCCCACCUGCACGCUCAGCGGCACCACCCUGACCGUCAAGCUGGCCUCCACCACACUGUCCGCUGGUGACCAGGCGUUCUUCGGCUCGGGCACUGACGCAAUCCUGCGCGGCGUGGCCACCGGCACCGUGGGCCUGACCUCCACCACCUAUCUCACCACAGCUGCCACCACCGCCACCACCGGCGCCGUGACCAUCCAUCCUUCGGUCACCUCGGCCAUCGCGACGGACUCGACCACCAUCAAGGUCACGCUUCCCUUCAACGCCUGGAUUCACGCCUCCAUCACCUCCCUCAACGCCUCCGACUGCGGCAACCUCCUCACCUUUACGCCCGCCAAGACGCUGGCAGCCGCCAGCUCCUGCUCCUUCGCCAGC
rnacentral:lncRNA from 1 species